GGUCUUAUAUUCAUUUAAUGAUAUUAGAAUGCAAUUCUGAUGGUGUAAUAUAUUUUCUAAGGCUU
rnacentral:tRNA from 2 species